AACGCACAUUGCGCCCCUUGGUAUUCCGAGGGGCAUGCCUGUUCGAGCGUCAUUAUAACCACUCAAGCUUCGGCUUGGUCUUGGGGUUUCGAGGUUUCUCGGCCCUUAAAAUCAGUGGCGGUGCCAUCUGGCUCUAAGCGUAGUAAUUUUUCUCGCUACAGGGUCCAGGUGGUUACCUGCCAAUAAACCCCCCCUUUUAAGGUUGACCUCGGAUCAGGUAGGGAUACCCGCUGAACUUAA
rnacentral:misc_RNA from 1 species